rnacentral:rRNA from 1 species
GACGAACGCUGGCGGCGUGCUUAACACAUGCAAGUCGAACGGAAAGGCCCUGCUUUUGUGGGGUGCUCGAGUGGCGAACGGGUGAGUAACACGUGAGUAACCUGCCCUUGACUUUGGGAUAACUUCAGGAAACUGGGGCUAAUACCGGAUAGGAGCUCCUGCUGCAUGGUGGGGGUUGGAAAGUGUCGGCGGUUGGGGAUGGACUCGCGGCUUAUCAGCUUGUUGGUGGGGUAGUGGCUUACCAAGGCUUUGACGGGUAGCCGGCCUGAGAGGGUGACCGGCCACAUGGGGACUGAGAUACGGCCCAGACUCCUACGGGAGGCAGCAGUGGGGAAUAUUGCACAAUGGGCGGAAGCCUGAUGCAGCAACGCCGCGUGCGGGAUGACGGCCUUCUGGUUGUAAACCGCUUUCGCCUGUGACGAAGCGUGAGUGACGGUAAUGGGUAAAGAAGCACCGGCUAACUACGUG